rnacentral:rRNA from 1 species
UAUUGGUCAAUGGGCUUACGCCUGAACCAGCCAAGUCGCGUGAGGGAAGACUGCCUUAUGGGUUGUAAACCUCUUUUGUCAGGGAGCAAUUGGCGCUACGUGUAGCGUUAUCGAGAGUACCUGAAGAAAAAGCAUCGGAUGACACCGUGCCAGCAGCCGCGGUAAUACGGAGGAUGCGAGCGUUAUUCGGAUUCAUUGGGUUUAAAGGAUGCGUAGGCGGAAUGCCAAGUCAGCGGUAAAAUCGCGGGGCUCAACCUCGCUCCGCCGUUGAAACUGGCGUUCUUGAGUGGGCGAGAAGUAUGCGGAAUGCGUGGUGUAGCGGUGAAAUGCAUAGAUAUCACGCAGAACUCCGAUUGCGAAGGCAGCAUACCGGCGCCCAACUGACGCUGAAGCACGAAAGCGUGGGUAUCG